GGAGUUAGCCGGUGCUUCUUCUGCGAGUAACGUCACAGAUGUAAGGUAUUAACUUACACCCUUUCCUCCUCGCUGAAAGUGCUUUACAACCCGAAGGCCUUCUUCACACACGCGGCAUGGCUGCAUCAGGGUUUCCCCCAUUGUGCAAUAUUCCCCACUGCUGCCUCCCGUAGGAGUCUGGGCCGUGUCUCAGUCCCAGUGUGGCUGAUCAUCCUCUCAGACCAGCUAGGGAUCGUCGCCUAGGUGAGCCUUUACCUCACCUACUAGCUAAUCCCACCUGGGCUUAUCCAUCAGCGCAAGGCCCGAAGGUCCCCUGCUUUCCCCCGUAGGGCGUAUGCGGUAUUAGCAGUCGUUUCCAACUGUUAUCCCCCACAAAUGGGCAAAUUCCCAGGCAUUACUCACCCGUCCGCCGCUCGUCAUCUUCAAAGCAAGCUUUUGAAUGUUACCGCUCGACUUGCAUGUGUUAGGCCUGCCGCCAGCGUUCAAUCUGAGCCAGUGAUACAACUCUACGUACUAGGACGGCGGUCGUCGGACGACGGGCGACUAGUAG
rnacentral:rRNA from 1 species